AAUUUGAGUUAAAAUCAAUGAUUCAUUCAUUAAUUAUUGAGGUUUAAAUUUAUUAUAGAAAUUAUUUGGGAUUGAUUAGGAUUUGGUUUAAGAUUAGGGUUAGGAUUUUUGAUUGAUUUAAGAUUUAAUUAAAGUUAGGAUUUGGUUAGGAUUAGGAUUAGAAUUUUGGAUUUGAUUUAAGGUUUGAUUAGAGUUAAGAUUUGGUUUACAUUAGAAUUUGGUAAGGAUUUGGUUAAGAUUUGUCUAAGAUUUGAUUAGAAAUUAUUUAGGAUUUGGUUAGGAUUUAUUUAGGAUUUGUUUAAGAUUUGAAUAGGAUUUAUUUAAGAUUUGGUUAGUAUUUGUUUAAGAUUUGAUUACGAUUUGAUUAUGAUUUGAUUAGAAUUUGACUAGAGUUUGCCUAAGAUUUAAUUAGGACUUAUUUAGGAUUUAAUUAAGAAUUGAUUAGAAUUUAUUUAGGAUUUGAUUAGGAUUUAUUUACGAUUUAAUUAAGAAUUGGUUAGAAUUUUUUUAGGAUUAGAUGAGGGUUUGAUUAAGAUUUGAUUAGACUUUGACUAGGAUUUAUCUAAGAUUUGGUUAAGACUUAUUUAGAAGUUGACUUAGGUUUGACAAGGAUUUGACUAAGACUUGAUUAAGAUUUGAUUAAAGUUUGAUUAGAGUUUAAUUAAGGUUU
rnacentral:lncRNA from 1 species